rnacentral:rRNA from 1 species
ACUUUUUGUCGGCGACCGGCGGACGGGUGCGUAACGCGUAUGCAACCUUACCUUAUACAGGGGGGAUAACCCUUUUCGAAAGGGAGACUAAUACCGCAUAACAUUACUUUGAGGCAUCUUGAGGUAAUUAAAUCUUCGGAGGUAUAAGAUGGGCAUGCGUAGCAUUAGCUAGAUGGUGCGGUAACGGCGUACCAUGGCGACGAUGCUUAGGGGUUCUGAGAGGAAGGUCCCCCACACUGGUACUGAGAUACGGACCAGACUCCUACGGGAGGCAGCAGUGAGGAAUAUUGGUCAAUGGUCGGAAGACUGAACCAGCCAUGCCGCGUGCAGGAAGAAUGUCUUAUGGAUUGUAAACUGCUUUUGUAUGGGGCUAAUAAUAACUUUGCGAAGUUAGAUGCAGGUACCAUACGAAUAAGGAUCGGCUAACUCCGUG